AGAGUUUGAUCCUGGCUCAGAACGAACGCUGGCGGCGCGCCUAAUACAUGCAAGUCGAGCGAGAAGACGUAGCAAUACGUUUGUAAAGCGGCGAACGGGUGAGGAAUACAUGGGUAACCUACCCUCGAGUGGGGAAUAACUAACCGAAAGGUUAGCUAAUACCGCAUACGACUCCUGGUCUGCGGAUCGGGAGGGAAAGCGAUACCGUGGGUACCGCGCUCUUGGAUGGGCUCAUGUCCUAUCAGCUUGUUGGUGAGGUAACGGCUCACCAAGGCUUCGACGGGUAGCUGGUCUGAGAGGACGAUCAGCCACACUGGCACUGCGACACGGGCCAGACUCCUACGGGAGGCAGCAGUAAGGAAUAUUGCGCAAUGGGCGACAGCCUGACGCAGCGACGCCGCGUGGGGGAUGAAGGUCUUCGGAUUGUAAACCCCUUUCGGCAGGGAAGAUGGAACGGGUAACCGUUCGGACGGUACCUGCAGAAGCAGCCACGGCUAACUUCGUGCCAGCAGCCGCGGUAAUACGAAGGUGGCAAGCGUUGUUCGGAUUUACUGGGCGUACAGGGAGCGUAGGCGGUUGGGUAAGCCCUCCGUGAAAUCUCCGGGCCUAACCCGGAAAGUGCGGAGGGAACUGCUCGGCUAGAGGAUGGGAGAGGAGCGCGGAAUUCCCGGUGUAGCGGUGAAAUGCGUAGAGAUCGGGAGGAAGGCCGGUGGCGAAGGCGGCGCUCUGGAACAUUUCUGACGCUGAGGCUCGAAAGCGUGGGGAGCAAACAGGAUUAGAUACCCUGGUAGUCCACGCCU
rnacentral:rRNA from 1 species